rnacentral:rRNA from 1 species
GAUGAACGCUAGCUACAGGCUUAACACAUGCAAGUCGAGGGGUAACGAGAGGAAAGCUUGCUUUCCUUGUCGACGACCGGCGCACGGGUGAGUAACGCGUAUCCAACCUGCCCCCAACUAGGACAUAACCUUGCUAAAGUAAUACUAAUACCCUAUAAUUUUCUCAGAUGUCAUCUGACGAGGAAUAAAGCUUUAUCGGUUGUGGAUGGGGAUGCGUCUGAUUAGAUUGUUGGCGGGGUAACGGCGCACCAAGGCAACGAUCAGGAGGGGUUGUGAGAGGAAGGUCCCCCACAUUGGAACUGAGACUCGGUCCAAACUCCUACGGGAGGCAGUAGUGAGGAAUAUUGGUCAAUGGGCGGAAGCAUGAACCAGCCAAGUAGCGUGCAGGAUGACGGCCCUAUGGGUUGUAAACUGCUUUUAUAUAGGAAUAAAGUUAGCCAAGUGUGGUUAUUUGUAGGGACUGUAUGAAUAAGGACCGGCUAAUUCCGUGCCAGCAGCCGCCGUAA